GUGUCAGCCGCCGCGGUAAUACGGAGGGGGCAAGCGUUGUUCGGAUUUACUGGGCGUAAAGGGUGUGUAGGCGGCUGUGCAAGUCUGAUGUGAAAUCUUCACCGCUCAACGGGAAGAGGUCAUUGGAAACUGCACAGCUCGAGUAUGGUAGAGGCGAGUGGAAUUCCAGGUGUAGCGGUGGAAUGUGUAGAUAUCUGGAAGAACACCAGUGGCGAAGGCGACUCGCUGGGCCAUUACUGACGCUGAGACACGAAAGCGUGGGGAGCAAACGGGAUUAGAUACCCCGGUAGUCCACGCUGUAAACGGUGCGCACUAGGUGUGGGGGGUAUCGACCCCUCCCGUGCCGCAGUCAACACAUUAAGUGCGCCGCCUGGGGAGUACGGCCGCAAGGUUGAA
rnacentral:rRNA from 1 species